ensembl:lncRNA
CUCCUCCCCUCUCCUCCCCCUCUCCCUCUUCGCUCUGGUUUUUUGUUUGAUAAUGUCCCUGGCACCUGGACACAAACUGCUGUUUCAAUCAGCAGCCCGGGGAGAACAUGAGGACAGGAACAUGUCACAUGUGACUGCUGCCAGCCGCGGACCCUGCCACUGCCAUUUAGCACCAGCACUCUCUUUACUUCACUUUCCCGGACCCGAGGGUCAGCGCCAAGGGAGGCGCUAUCUGGAAACUUGUCUUUCGGGGAGACGGGGACAAAAACACCCUGAAGUGAAGGAGCUGUCUCCCGCUCUCCUCCGAGGAAAUGUUGUUAUUUGGCUCCAUUUUUUAAAUGGUUGCUGUGAUCUCCACUGUGGACCGGCAGGACACAAAUUAACUGCCUACCCGCCACCCUGCGGCCUCGAGGAAAAUAUCGCUCAAUCAAAACCAUACAGCCGCACGUUAAAACCUACCGUACAAACCUGGACAAGUGAGAUAUCCUACCGUACUACGAACCCGGAACAGUGAGAUCCUACCUGUACCAGUGAAAUCCUACCGUACCUGGACGAAUGAAAUCCUACUGUACCUACUACCUGGACCAUUGAAAUCCUACUAAACAUACCUGGACCAGUGAGAUCGAACUGUACCUGGACCAGUGAGAUCGUACUGCACAUGGACCCGGACAUAUAAGAUCCUACUGCACAUGAACCUUGGCCUGCAAUAUAACUCCCAAUACCUCUUGUUAAAAUAAGAAUUCAAACCCCUGCAUAGUGCCUCUCCAUAUAACCCCUGCAGAGAUGGGAUGAGUUUAGCCUGCUGAAUGGUCUGUUGUGUGCUGGAAAAAACCCAGCUCUACAGUGGGACAGUCUAGGGCCAAACCCAAGAGCCAAAAGGCUCUUGGGUUUGACCCCAAGUGUGUGCAUUCUGACUGGAGGCGUGCUCGACCAAGGCACAAUAACAGGCAAUACCCGCUCAAAAACGACACGGAUUUCAUAAAAAAAAAGUCUAAACAAACGAAUACACUUCAGUGCAAGUUGCCGUGGAGACAAGCAUCAGCUGAACGACUGAAUCCUACCUGGGGGCAUCGUGGCCUUGAUGGUGUGGUCUAACCAGAGGAGCCAGACCAUGGUGGAGCCGGGCAGGGGCAUUUGUGGUCUGUCAAUAGGACCGGUGAAGUAUGGGUUCGGGCGGGCCGGUCUCGUGUACCCGUGGUGCUGCUCAGUGUGGCAAGGCACUCAGGGCACUUCAAACCCCCCCC